UACUAUAGCUUGACACUGAACAUUGAGCCUUGAUGUGUAGGAUAGGUGGGAGGCUUUGAAGUGUGGACGCCAGUCUGCAUGGAGCCGACCUUGAAAUACCACCCUUUAAUGUUUGAUGUUCUAACGUGGACCCGUUACCCGGGUUGCGGACAGUGUCUGGUGGGUAGUUUGACUGGGGCGGUCUCCUCCUAAAGAGUAACGGAGGAGCACGAAGGUUGGCUAAUCCUGGUCGGACAUCAGGAGGUUAGUGCAAUGGCAUAAGCCAGCUUGACUGCGAGCGUGACGGCGCGAGCAGGUGCGAAAGCAGGUCAUAGUGAUCCGGUGGUUCUGAAUGGAAGGGCCAUCGCUCAACGGAUAAAAGGUACUCCGGGGAUAACAGGCUGAUACCGCCCAAGAGUUCAUAUCGACGGCGGUGUUUGGCACCUCGAUGUCGGCUCAUCACAUCCUGGGGCUGAAGUAGGUCCCAAGGGUAUGGCUGUUCGCCAUUUAAAGUGGUACGCGAGCUGGGUUUAGAACGUCGUGAGACAGUUCGGUCCCUAUCUGCCGUGGGCGCUGGAGAACUGAGGGGGGCUGCUCCUAGUACGAGAGGACCGGAGUGGACGCAUCACUGGUGUUCGGGUUGUCAUGCCAAUGGCACUGCCCGGUAGCUAAAUGCGGAAGAGAUAAGUGCUGAAAGCAUCUAAGCACGAAACUUGCCCCGAG
rnacentral:rRNA from 2 species